GUGCUCACUUCGGCAGCACAUAUACUAAAAUUGAAACAAUACAGAGAUUUAUUAGCAUGGCACCUGUACAUGAUGACAUGCAAAUUCACAAAGUGUUCCACAUUUUU